rnacentral:lncRNA from 1 species
AAUACAAAUUUGAUUUUGACAUCUUUUGUUCAUUAUCAUAUGUUAUACUAGUAUACUAUAUUUCAAGAACAACUAAAAGAAAAAAAAUCUUGCACAUUGGAUGGGUCACAUGCUAGUAUGGAUCAAAUUACUCUCAAGUGUUAAUCUCCAAAUUUUGCUUCUCUAGUAUAAUUGCUGUUAUUUAAUGUUUUGGCUAUAUUUUGGUCUCCAGUUGGACGCGUUCGCUAUACCAUGGGUGCUUGGAGCAGAGGGAAUAGGUAAGGCCACAUGACCAACUUUCUUUGCCAGUCUUUUAAGGGAACUGUGAUUGGAUUACAAAGUUAAAUAGACCAUGUCUUCCUCCAAGAUAAACUAUUAGAACAAGAUUUAUAAAUUUAUUUGUUUAUUUAGAUGAUAUAUUGCUAACAGCAUCUACAUGUGCUGACGUAUGGGUUCACGUGCAAGUAAGAGAGAGAGGGGGAAAAUAACAACUGAGAUUUUUUUUAAAAAAAUCAAAAAAAUAAAAAGAAGGGGGCAAUUCAAUAAUAAAUAACAGUGUAAAUUACAAAAAUUCUAUUAAAAUUAAGGAUUAAUUAAACUUGCACCCAAUAAUAUAAAAAUCUAUAUUUACCAUCUUAAGGUUUAUUUUUAUUCAAUAUUUUAAUCCAUAACUUGAUAGAACGUUAGUCAAACCGUUAACCUUAAAUAAAAUCCAAAUGCCGCAUCAGAAAAAAUUUCAAAAAUAACCAAAAUAAUCUUAAGUGACAUAAUAUUUACCCAAGGAUAAAAAUAAAAUAUGUGUAUUCUCCUCUCCACUUAAGGGUACUUUUUAUUUUUCAUAUGAGAUAAACGGUUUUGUUAAUAUUGUUAAUUUAACUGGAUGUAAGUAUAGAUUGUACAAAUUAUUGAGUGUAAGUAUAAUAAACAUAAAUUUCAGAAAGGUUUAUGCAAUUUAUUUUAACUAGUAUUUCAGCAAUUAAAAAAUAAAUAGCUUUGGUUCUUUUUAAACUAAGAAUUAAUACUUGCAAUUAAUACUUCAAUCCAAAAAGAAAAACCACCAAUAAGCUACCUUUUAAUUGAAAAGUAAUCAGAUAUAUAAUCAGUAAGUAAAGCAUAUAUUCUAAUAUCUCCAGGCUUCUACUCUUACUUGGUUUCAUUCAAAUUAUCGAGCACACGAUGUAGGGAUAAGAUACCUUCACUUUUGAUCUGGAGAUAUCUUUUUUCUUCAGAAUUUGAUAUGGAGUAACCAAAUAAAGAUCGAGCAAUGCUUCAAUAGUUACAUCCCUUCCAAAAUAUUAGAUUUCAAUUUAUGAAGCAUCCAAAGUUCCUUUAAAAAAAUCACAUCAAGCCACACAUGUAUCUGAUCUAGAAGAUUAAGACAGAAAGUAGCAACAAAUAACCAAGCUUGAAAUGCCAAAUAGCUAAACUUAUGCAGAUGUCAAAGUAUUUGUUUC